GAUGAACGCUGGCGGCGUGCCUAACACAUGCAAGUCGAGCGGAAGGACGAGAAGCUUGCUUCUCUGAUGUUAGCCGCGGACGGGAGAGUCACAUGUGGAUCACCUACCUAUAUGACUGGGAAAAUUUCGGGAAACCGGAGCUAACACGGGAUGAUCUUUUGCAGCGCAUGGUUCAUAGGAGAAUGUCGGUCUUGCGGUCAGUUAUCGCUGGAUCCGAGCUGCAUUGGCUGGUUGGUAAGGUCACAGGUUACCAAGGCAAGUAUGCAUAGCCGACCUGAGAGAGUGAUAGGCCACACUGGAGCUGGGACACGGUCCAGACUCCUAAGGGAGGCACCAGUAGGGUAUCUGCCGCAGUGGGCGGAAGCCUGACAGAACGACGGCGCGUGAGUGAUGAAGAUCUUCGGAUCGUAAUAAUCUGUUAUUAGGUAAGAACAUAUGUGUCAGUAGCUGUGCACAUCUUGACGGUACUGAAUCAGAAAGCCACGGCUAACUACGUG
rnacentral:rRNA from 1 species